rnacentral:rRNA from 1 species
GACUUCUGGUGUAAUGUGCCUGGCCCGCGGCUCUUUAGGCCUGUGAGUGCCGGUGCGCGUUUAGGGAACGGGUCUACCCUUUACUGGGCCGGAUUCGGGAUCCAGAUCAUUUACUUUGAAAUUAGAGUGUUUAAAGCAAGCAAUUGCCAUGAAUACAUGAAUAAUAAUCUAGGACUUCGGUUCUAUUUUGUUGGUUUCGAAAACUGAAGUAAUGAUUGAUAGGGAUAGUGGGGGUGCUAGUAUUGGCCGGUCAGAGGUGAAAUUCUUGGAUUCGGUCAAGACUAACUUAUGCGAAAGCAUU